CAAGGGGGCAUGCCCAGUAGCGGCGAGUGAGCGGCAAGAGCUCAGAUUUGAAAUCGUGUUUCGGCACGAGUUGUAGAGUGUAGGCGGGAGUCUCUGUGGAGCGCGGUGUCCAAGUCCCUUGGAACAGGGUGCCUGAGAGGGUGAGAGCCCCGUAGGGUGCUGCGCGAAGCUUUUGAGGCCCUGCUGACGAGUCGAGUUGUUUGGGAAUGCAGCUCCAAGCGGGUGGUAAAUUCCAUCUAAGGCUAAAUAUUGGCGAGAGACCGAUAGCGAACAAGUACUGUGAAGGAAAGAUGAAAAGCACUUUGAAAAGAGAGUGAAACAGCACGUGAAAUUGUUGAAAGGGAAGGGUAUUGGGCUCGACAUGGGGGGUGCGCACCGCUGUCUCUUGUAGGCGGCGCUCUGGGCGCCCUCUGGGCCAGCAUCGGUUCCUGCUGCGGGAGAAGGGGCUCCGGAAAGUGGCUCUUCGGAGUGUUAUAGCCGGGGCCAGAUGCCGCGUGUGGGGACCGAGGACUGCGGCUUCUGUCUCGGAUGCUGGCAUAACGGCGCAAUACCGCCCGUCUUGAACAACG
rnacentral:rRNA from 1 species